GUGCCAGCCGCCGCGGUAAGACGUAGCGGGCAAGCGUUGUCCGGAAUGACUGGGCGUAAAGGGCGUGUAGGCGGUGCGAUACGUAGCGGUUUUAAGCCUCCGGCUCACCCGGAGGAGGGCGGCUAAACGGUCGGACUGGAGGGCAGGAGAGGUGCGUGGAAUUCUUGGUGGAGCGGUGAAAUGCGUAGAGAUCAGGAAGAACACCCGUGGCGAAGGCGGCGCACUGGCCUGGCCCUGACGCUGAGGCGCGACAGCGUGGGGAGCGAACGGGAUUAGAUACCCCGGUAGUCCACGCCGUAAACGAUGGGUACUAGGUGUCGCCCGGGUCCACCGGGCGGUGCCGGAGCUAACGCACUAAGUACCCCGCCUGGGGAGUACGGCCGCAAGGUUGAAACUCAAAGGAAUUGACGGGGGCCCGCACAAGCAGUGGAGCAUGUGGUUUAGUUCGACGCAACGCGCAGAACCUUACCAGGACUGGACACGGUCGUGAGCGCCGCGAAAGCGGCGGGCCCUUCGGGGAGCGAUCGCAGGUGCUGCAUGGUUGUCGUCAGCUCGUGUCGUGAGAUGUUGGGUUAAGUCCCGCAACGAGCGCAACCCUUGUCGUGUGUUGCCAGCGGUUCGGCCGGGCACUCACACGAGACUGCCGGUGACAAACCGGAGGAAGGUGGGGAUGACGUCAAAUCCGCAUGGCCUUGAUGUUCUGGGCGACACACGUGCUACAAUGGGUCCGACAAUGGGCGGCGACGGCGCGAGCCGCAGCGAAUCCCGCAAACGGAUCCUCAGUUCGGAUUGCAGGCUGCAACCCGCCUGCAUGAAGCCGGAAUUGCUAGUAAUCGCCCAUCAGCACGGGGCGGUGAAUUCGUUCCCGGGCCUUGUACACACCGCCCCGUCACACCACGAGAGUUGGCCACACCCGAAGCCGGGUGAUCCAACCGCCCUACGGGGCGGAGGGUCCCGUCGACGGUGGGGUUGGUGAUUGGGAAGGAGUCGUAACAAGGUAACC
rnacentral:rRNA from 1 species